UGGUGCAGUGGGGAUUAGAACCCAGGUCUCGUGAUUCCCAGUCCUGUGUUCUUUACGAUAGGCCACGCUGCUUCCGUUAGCCGCCGAGACGAAGAGGAGGCAGCAGAGACCGAGGCGUGGUCAGUGAAGAAGAGAAACAGGCCACCCCGCUUCUCAAGAACACGAUCUCCACAAAAACGGCCUGGUUCUUACCUCCCAUCUGUGUGAGCCUCUGAGACGGGGGAGAGUGAGGAUGGCGGAGUGCAAACCAUCACCUCUACCGCAAAAACAACUCAAGCGUCCAUCCCGUUGGCGGCGAUACGUACCCGUCCCCUCAACGGCGAGGGACCGGAAAGGAACACCAUUUUAUCUUCCUGGGUACAGUGUGAUGACAUUCACACACCUGGACAGAAUCUCACCAUCAGCAAGCGGCACCAUCUUUGAGCCAAGCCACAGUUCGACAGAGCAGAACCGACUAGACGCCUAAGGUCGGUCAGUUCCAUACGCAGCCGUCUGGGCGGGACAGAGGGGCCUUAAAGGGGGUGAGCGGCGAGCAGUAAAAGAUGCUAAGUGGCUCCUUAAGCCCAAAUGGCCCCAAGACCCAUUUUCUUCCUGGGUGCGUGUGGCCAGAGUGACUCAGUCGAGCUGUGUCUAUGGGGCAAAUUCCAUCGAUCGGGGGACCUCGGGGCCGGAUGACACACCUGGUUCCUCCCACCUUUUGGAGCCUUUGAAAUGAUCUUCAGCAAUAAAUCCCAAUCCCGCCUGGCCCGCUCCGCCCUGCCAGGUGAAGCCA